rfam:Populus trichocarpa scaffold_7_contig_44, whole genome shotgun sequence.
AAAGUUGGUUGUGGCAAAUCUCCACCCAAUUAUGGCAGAUCCUCACUCAAAUGCUUAGAACCUUUAGUUUUCAUAAGUCCGGCUACAUCAUCCAUCUUAAACAACAAUGAGGGACUUAUAGACCCUCGAUAU